rnacentral:rRNA from 1 species
GACGAACGCUGGCGGCGUGCUUAACACAUGCAAGUCGAACGAAGUGGCGAACGGGUGAGUAACGCGUAAUCAACCUGCCCCUCAGAGGGGGACAACAGUUGGAAACGACUGCUAAUACCGCAUACUGAUGGAGGGGUUGGCGUCUGAUUAGCUCGUUGGGGGGGUAACGGCCCACCAAGGCGAUGAUCAGUAGCCGGUUUGGGGAGAUGUACGGGACAAUUGGGACUGAGGCACGGCCCCAGCUCCUACGGGGAGGAGCCGUGGGGAAUCUUCCGCAAUGGACGAAAGUCUGACGAAGCAACGCCGCGUUGGUGGUUGCGGCCUUCGGGUUGUAAAGCUCUGUUAAUCGGGACGCGGUACCGGAAGAGAAAGCCACGGCUAACUACGUGCCAGCAGCCGCGGUAAUAC